rnacentral:rRNA from 1 species
AUGGCUCAGGAUGAACGCUGGCGGCGUGCUAACACAUGCAAGUCGAACGAAGCUAAGGGAGCUUGCUCCCAAAGCUUAGUGGCGGACGGGUGAGUAACGCGUGGGUAACCUGCCCUAUAGAGGGGGAUAACGUUCGGAAACGAACGCUAAUACCGCAUAAACCAUAAAGAGCUGCAUGGCUCUGAUGGCAAAGAUUUAUCGCUAUAGGAUGGACCUGCGUUGGAUUAGCUAGUUGGUGAGAUAACAGCUCACCAAGGCGACGAUCCAUAGCCGGCCUGAGAGGGUGAACGGCCACAUUGGGACUGAGACACGGCCCAAACUCCUACGGGAGGCAGCAGUGGGGAAUAUUGCACAAUGGGCGCAAGCCUGAUGCAGCGACGCCGCGUGAAGGAAGAAGGUCUUCGGAUUGUAAACUUCUAUCAGCAGGGAAGAAUAAAUGACGGUACCUGACUAAGAAGCCCCGGCUAACUACGUGCCAGCCGCCGC